UUUUGUAGCACUGUGCGUAUACCCCCAGUCACAGUGCUAUAGAGCUUUACAAAAACCUCCCCCAGGUUUCAUACUGUAAGCCUCUGACAACCUCCGGAACCAGAUGUUUUCUGCGAGUUAACCUGCAGCAGAAUCAAAGGGCUUGGCAGUUAGAUCAGCCAGGCUGCCUGGGCACUUCUGUCCCAGACUCUUCUGCCCCGCUGACUAGACCUGCCCUGGGGUCAGUAAUUAGAAUGGACUUUCAGAAAUCAUCACGCCCACUGCCAUUUGUGCUUUCUGGCUAGUCUAUCUUCAAAUAGGUUCCUACGGAGAAAUCUGGGUUAAGAGAAGAGUCAAGGAGAGUCAUGGCCUUGCAAGCUCUCAGAUCUAUCAUAUUAGCACUGAUUGAUCUCCUGAAGUGAGCAGAAAUAUUUCUUCAUUCCCAGGAAAUAUCUUUCAAAAACCCAAACUCAAGAAGGAGGAUGCAAGCUUUUCCAGGGUUAUUAAACAAGCUCUACAAUCUGGUCUGGCUAAUGGUAUCAGUGUGAUGGUGUAUAUACUGUUGAACAAGGAGAUUCUUCCUCCAGAUGUGACACAGACAAGAUGACUUGGGGUGUGGAAGCCAAAAGGCCAUGGCAGAGCCAUCUUGACCUUUCGCUGGCAAGCAAUCCAUCCAAGAGAAAGUUGUGGAGAGAAACCCCAUCCUGGAGACGAGGAUGACUAAUUGCAAGCCCUGUGGAAGACCUAAUUCAUAUCAGUACCUCAGGAAGCUUACAAGCAGAUUCUGAAGCUCUUAUAUAAGAAUAUACAUUUCCUAGUUGUUUUUUCUGUCUGCCCCAAAUAUAAUAAGAUAAUGCUCUGUUUGGUUAUUUGGGAGUUAGCUGUAUCUUCCUUUCUUCCUGGAGUACUCUGACGGGUUUCCUUCGGAAGAGUAUAAGACUGAAGAUAAGCCACAGCCUGAAGUCCAGGUUGCUGACUUGAGCACAGAUGGGAGAACGUUAACAGCCAAGAAAUAUGAGGUCUUGGCUCCUUUCCCAGAACUGCCAGGCUAAGACCUUGGCAGAGACUCAACAGGAAACUGAACUCUAUUUGCAUAUCCUUUUAUACAUGGGAGAUUAAAAGCUUCAACCUUGAGUGAUCACAGUUUUGGAGAAUCACAACGAGGCAUUAAAGAAAGGGAGGAGUGUCCCAAGGGCGAUGAGCUGGGGGUGGUGCAAGGUGGCUAUGAGGUUUACAAUGACUUUCAAUCCCCUUUGAUUAAUCAUGAGUGUAUUUCACUUGGUUCUUUUUUGAUUUUAUCCCUUUUGGGUCACAGAGAGCUAUGUUUCCUAAAUCUUGGGAAUCUGUCAAAUUUGAUCCCCCCCCCAUCCUUCUCUUUCUGGGCAGAAAUUUAUAUAACUUCUUAAUACUGGAAGAAAUUUAGGGAUUAUCUAAUAAUAAUCUAAUAUUAUAUAAACUCUUCUACUGUACAUAGGAAUAGGAGACGCAACACAAAUAAGUUAACUGAUUUAUCCAAAGUCCCAUAGAAAGUUAAGAGUUCUGUCUCCUGAAUGAUUUACUUUUUCAACAGGCUGCUGGCUCUUGGCAGCUGGAGUUUCCUUAGAUUUCAGAUAGCUUCUUUCCAGUUUGUGACUUGGCAUAGACACCUCCAUCAUCAACUUUCAUCAGAGCUUGUGUUCCUGGCCAGACAGUGGCUCUGAUUCCCUGGCUUUUUUUCUCCACUUCCUCUGGACCAGGUCCCUAUAAUUCUUUAAUGAAAGAAGCCAGAGGACUGGAAUGAGUAUAUUCAUCCUUGGGAUUCAUUUAGGGAAACUUGGCUCUCCUGGUUAAGUAUUGCAGUGAAAACUAACUCCAGUAGACUACAUGGACAACGGGAAGAUGACCAAUGUCAUGCUGCACAGGAAUUGGGAAGGACAGCUCAUAGGAGUUACAGAAAAUGAGAACAGGAAAGGACCUCAGGCCACAUCAGAUCCAGCUUUGUCACCUUACAAAUGAGCUGAGGAGACUCAAGUCUUGGGACCUUGAAGCACAAAAGUGGCAAAAGAUAGAGAAAAGAGUUUUACCAGCAAGUAGAUGUCCAAGGAAUAUAAGGACGCUGACAUUUGCUCUCCAGGAUGUCUGACAGAAGCCUGUUGUGGUCCACAACACACAACAGGAAAGGGCAGGAAGGAGCUCAUUCCUCCAAUGGAGCCACAAAAAAGACCUGAGGUCUCAGCUGCGCUGCAGGAUGCCUCCAGGAUGCUUCAUUGCAGAACUUCUGCUUCCUACAACCUCCUCUGACUGGGAAGGUUAAAAAGGGAACUGCUGACCCUAAUAUGCAAACUGCCACAAGCUCUACUCGUUUUUCCAUUAGCAUGAGAUGGAUUGAGAUGGCUGCAAGGUUGAUGUGGCUCAUAUUUCAUUUUCAGGGCUGUAUGGUGGUGGGGAGGACUAAGCAAAUCAACCAACAGAUCAAACAGCAGUGAAAGAAGAGGAGUUUAUUGGCUUCAUUGGGAGCAGCAAAAAGAAUGAAAGGUUUGAGGGCAGAAAGAACUGCAGCAAGUCUUAUAACUCUUGCUUCAACUCAACUUUCCUGUACUCUUAUGGAGAGAUACUCUGCCUGUUCUUUAAAUGAACUUUUAAUGUUCUUUAAAUGAACUCCUUGAACUCACAUUUUAUUGCUUUGUUUUUAAAAACUAAGUUUUAAAAUUAAAACUAAAGUUUUAAAAUUGUUUUUAAAAACUAAGUUUUAAAAUUAAAACUAAAGUUUUAAAACUAAAACUAAGUUUUAAAAUUAAAACUUAUUUUUAACUGUCAUAUGAAAUUAUGCUGUGAUUUGAUGAACCGGGCAAUGUUUAAAUCUGGUUGAACAUAUCUAUCUAUUGAAGCAUUUACCAUUUAUUUAUAGUGAAAAUGUUAAAAUUCCUUUCUUUCUAGUUUUUUGAGACACAGAAUACAUAAUUGCUAUCCGUAGCAUACUUACUGUAUAUUAGCACACCAGAGCUUCUCACUCUGAUUGAACUCUGACUUAGUAGCUGUUGAUCACCCUAUCCCUGCUCCUCCCCUCCCACUACUAUCCCCAGCCUUUGGUAACCACAUUCUACUCUCAGCCUCUGUGAGAGAUCAACUCUUAGAUUUCACAUAUGAGUGAGACCAUGCUGUGCUUGUCUUUCUAUGCCUGACUUAUUUCACUUAAUUUGCACAAACUGUUGAGGAUUAGGCAGCUGAGUAACUGUAUCUCUGUGUAGACUAGCCUCGGAAAGGAUGCUAUUUAUAAGACUGGGCUGAAAGAGGUCCUGGAACUAGUAUGUGUAGAUCUUUUCCUCACUGCCUGCUCCAUUUCUUAAAGAGCAGCUGUGUUGUUCUGAAGACUACCGAAUUCAGAUUAAGAAGAUGUGGGAAGUGAUGACUCCAUCACUUACCUGUGAGUCACUUACCUCCCCACACCUCAGUUUCUUGGGCUCCAAAAUGGGGAUAAUACUAUUCCAUGUUGGCAUCAGGAAAUUAUACAUGGGAGCUCACUUUGUGAUCUACAGUUAGGCAAGUGCUGAGGCCAGCUGACUGGUGUGGGAGGUGGAAGGGUCAGUGUUCAGCUUCUUGGGUAGGUUGUCCAGUAAUAACUCUUCUCUUUUACUGUGGCUCUGGCAAUCUCCACAGGAAAUUGCACGGUUGAGUUUUCAAUUCUACCAAGAAAAGUAAACUGCAAAAUUUUGCUGUGAGUUACUUUUCUCAUUUGCUGAGUUAGAGAGUUACAUUUUCUCAUCAUUACUUUUACUUUUCUCAUUGAGUUAUUUAUGACAAAAUACCCAACACUUACAAAUUAAAGGAGGAAGACACAGUUUUGGCUUACAGUUUGUACAGGUUUCAGUCCAUAGUCAGUUGGCUCCAAGGUAAGAUGGCAGGGCAAAGGAGAAACAGUCCAUGGCAGGGGAGGCAGAGAGCAGCAGCAAAAUCUUUCCAGACUACAACCCUUUUGGGUGGUGGUUCUCAUAUCCAUAAUCAAUUUUUCCAUUAUCUACCCCCAGAACUAUGCUAAACCAAUUUAUCUAUCACACACUCUUAAUCUUAGUAUCUCACAUCCUAAUCCAGCAUCACACAUCUGGCCUAAUCCAGAUCACACAUGAUCUGGCCACCUCCCAAAAGCCCCACCUAUGAAUACUUGAGGUUUUGGGGGAUAUCAAGUUAUCUGCCAUAACAUACUCCCAAAAGGAACAAAUGUCUCUAGCUUUUGUUACUCCAAUAAGGUACCUGGCUUGACAUGGGAAAAAGCAUUAAGGUAAAGGGAAGACAGAGAAAUUGAGGAGUAUGUCAGGGGACUGAGCUUCCAGGGUGGAAUUGCAGUGCCAUUUUCAUUUUCAGUCUUCUUACAAACUUUCCUGUGGAUGCUUUCUUUGGAGUCAUUCACUUAGUUAUUUAGAAAGCACCCACUAGUUUCUAUGGUGUGGGUCUAAUGAGAAAACAAUGUUUUUGACUUGUGAUUCUGAGGCUCCACGGUAGCUCUCACCUGUACAGGCAACAGGAAGACUCGGAUCUCUGCAGGAAUUGCACUGAGGAGCAAAGAGCUCUGUUUCUGGACCAUCUCCUGGCCCUUAGUUCUCUUCUCAACACUUCAUGGCUCAUAGAUUUUGCCUUGUCUGUGGACAGGAAAAUGAACCUGAGUCAGCAGAUGUUCUCCCCUCCAAGAAUAUCUUCAGUCUCCUGAAGAAACUCUGAUGGGUAGAACUCAACCAGGGGAACACCUAGCUGACUCAUGGCAAUGGACAAUGCACCACUGUAUGUGCUUACAAAAGACCACAGCUAUCCAGGAAGACACACCAUUAACAGUGAAGAUGUGUUAACGUCUCCCAAGUGGCUACUGUUUUUGGAGGGAGGAUUUCUUUCUACUUGCCUGGAAUUUCUGAUUUCGCAGUAGGGAUUUUCUGCCAAGAGAGAGAACUGUGGGUCACACGAAAACUUUCUGCUGUCCCUGGAAAUCCUUUUUAUUUUGUCUUGCUUGCCAGGAGCCCAAAGGGCUUGGUGAAGCUCAAGUAGAAGUAGAGAAGCUAGAAAAGAGGUUUUCAUGUUGCUAACAGACUGAUCUUAUGACUUUGUUCUUUGAGCUCCAUUUACAAAAAACAAAACAAAGCAAAACAAUCCCAAAGCAAUAUGAUUUCAUACUCCUGUCCAACAAUAUCUCACCAGAGAGUUAAAAAAGUUGGAAAACCCUGGACAGUAGAGUAGGCUGCGGAGAGUUGGUGACAGUUAGGGAGAAUAUCUGCAUAAAUGCUCUUCCCUCUCCUUUGGUGGUGGGAGUUACCUAAUAGAAUGUAAAUGUUUUAAUUUUUAUAGAGAACUCAAAUUCUACUACUUCAAUUAUAUAGCUUAUUUUAUAUCCUCCAGUCUGCCAGUGGUCUUCUUGGCACGGAGUAAUGACAUAGUUGGGCUUUCCAAGAAUCUCAGGGAAGCUUCUUGCUUCAUAUUUCAAGGAGAAGCAAAUAAAUACCCUUUUUACUCCAGGCAGAAAGAGCGGAGAGAGUUGCAUGUGCCUCCCUGGCAGUGAGACCCUCCCUAGUACACCUAAAUUUGGGGAUAAAGAAGCAGUGUGUGGUGUCUGAUGCCACACACAACAGAAGAUGUAUGGAUAAGAGAUAUUGAUGGAGAGGACUCAUCCUGUUUUCCCUGAACAGAGGUUUGGUGGCUCUGGUUCUCUGUGCCAGUAGUGCCCACUACCACUAACAAGUACUUCAUCGUUGAUAAAUCUAUAGUGCCUCCUAGUUUUGGGGCUGCUGAUUUUUACUCUCCCUUCCCCAAUUAGGAGGCAAAGGAAACAAGGCAGAAAGAAUGGCAAAAUGGAGCUAGAGCUAACUGAAGAAGUGAUGGAGUGGUGGAGGUGGUGGUGGUGCUGGACCUUGGAGUCCCUAUAGGGCACUUAUGGGAAGACUCAUGUCAUUAUGGUUUGGAACUGGAAUGUCCCCAAAACCCUCAUGUGGUCAAAGGUGAGGCUUUGGGAAGAUGCUUAGAUUGUAGGCACUCUGUGCUCACCAGUGGAUUCAUUUACCAGAGUGUUCAGGUGCUGAGUGUGCAGUCGGGAUGUGGAUCUGGUUGGAAGACAUGGGUCAUUGGUGGUGUGAUCUUGAAGGCAUUACUUCCAUCCCUUCCUCCGCCCAUCCCUCUCUUUUUACUGACCAUUGUGGUUCAAACAGCUUUCCUGUGUGCAGGCGCUUCCAGUCUGAUGUUUCUGCCUAGCAGUCAGCCAACCAUGGAUUGAAAUGUGAGCCAAAAUAAAUCUCCCCUCCUUUAAAUUGAGACAGUCAGAUAUUUUGUCUUAAUAGCAAGGAAAUUACCAAGACAGAUUUUGGUACCAGAGAAGUGGGGUCAUUGCUGUGAUUGUGCUGGGCAUUGUGAUUUCAAACUGGUUCAAGGAGGGUGCCGGAAGUGUUUGGACAUUCUGGUCAGAAAAGUCCUAGAAUGUUUAAACUGAGCUUGAUGGUAGAUUCUGCGCAGAGUUCAGAUCAGAAUUCUGAAACAAAUACUGAUGAUGAAGGCCUGGCUCAGGAGAUUUCAACUGGGAACAAAGACUCCUUUGGUAGUUGAAGUUGAGAUGUUAUGCUCUGGCAGAAAAUUUAUCUACAUUUUUUCCACUUUGUGGGAGACUGAGGCAGCAAAUCAAUUAUUCUGUCAGAGGAAAUUUGAAGGCAGCUUGAUGAACAAGCUGUGGCAUUUUUUUUUUCUUUUCUUUUUUUGGUCUUUUUGGUUUUUAUCGGUACCAGGGAUGGAACUCACGACUGCCUGCUUGCAAGGCAGGCACUUAUGCUGCUGAGCUAAAUCCCCAGCCCCAAGCUGUAGCAUCUUUAAGCCAUAUUUAGAGUGAGAAGCAGGAGAAAAAAGUCAAACUGAAUAUUUGAAAAAAUUUGCUGGUGGACAGAAAAGAAGAGCCUAUGAAGUUGGCUUCUGUAAAGUUAGGGCUUGUAAAGUUGAAGUAGAGGAGAGCCUGGUUGCUGCAAAGAUUAACAUUACAAAGAAGCCAACUACCUUACAUCAAGACAAUAGGAAAAAUGCUUUGACAACAUCUCAGGAAUCAACCAGACCCUUCAUGGUCUUAAAAGUGCUAAAGUGAAGGACUUUGCUUUGAAAAGAGAGCCCCAGGGAGCCCUGCUAAAAAAGGGCUACCCUAAUGAAUGGGUUCCCUAGGUUCAGUGUGCUCAGUCAUCCAGGCACCUGGAAGCCUCUGCAACUAUCACACAUAGGUGCUCAGUGACUGGUCAGACUAGGACUGGUCCUUGGUAUCAUCCAUGUGCUGCUAUUUUUGUGGAUAUGGAGAAUGCAAGAGUUACAAGAUUGGGGUGGCUUCCACAUGGACUUCAGAAGAACCCCGUGGAAGCCAGACAGUGUGUCUCUGAGAGGGCAGUGCAUGAACCUGUGCCAGAGAAACUGAAGGCACAGUAGAGACCUCAGGAAGUUAGAGAUGCCAGGAACAUGGAUUAUCUGCAGAGGAAAGCAACAGGCAGAGAGCAAAACCAUUCCAAGAGAGAGGUUAUGAGGACUGUAAUUUGUGAUACCAUAGGGGCAGGAUGUCCCAGCCUUUUGAAUUCACAUUCCAUUAUGCCCUUUCCUGAGUGCUGAAUGUGGAACUUUAGGAUUUAAUGCUUGCCUUGUUGGGUUUUGGUCUUGCUUUAGUCUCAUUCUUUUCUGGCACUCAUACUUAUCUCUUUUUGAAUGGAAAUGUUUACUUUAUGCCAGUGAUGGCAAACCUUUUAGAGUUUUCAAUGAUACCAACAGCCCACUGCAGUACGUGUGCCAUAGUUUUGUCACCACUGCACUAUAUCAUUGUAUAUCAGUGGUGUUAACUUUCUUUCUGAUUUUAUAAGUGCUCAUAGAUAACAAUUUAUCUUGAGUCUCAGAGGAGACCUUGGACUUGGACUUUUCAGCAAUUCUGGAAGUGUUAAAACUUUGAUGAGUCUUACAUAGACUAAAUUCAUUUUUAUAUAAAGAGAUGUACAUGAGUCUUUUGGGAGCUAGGGGUAGAAUGUUGUGGUUUGGAUCUGAAAUGUUUUCCAGAACUAUCAUGUACUCUGAGACAAGGCUGUUGGAGGUUGAUUGGAUCACAGAAGCGUUACAUUCAUCAAUGGAUUCAUUCAUUGAUGAACGAUGAUCUUGUUUCUGCUUUUGGUGGGUGGGUCCUACCCAGCCCACGUGGAACUUGCUCAAGGAAGAGCCUUGACUGAGCUCUCAGAAGACAUGAAGCCAGAGGAAAGAGGAAAUUGCUGAAGAAUUUUUAAAUCUGGGAUGUAAUAUGAUCAUAUCUGCAUUUUGAAGAGACCACAUUGGCUGCUAUAAGGAGGACAUAUUUGAAGCUGGUAACUGUGGUUCUACAAUACUGGAUGACCCGUUUGUAAGUGCAGCCUUCCCAUUGGGCUGUUCCUGGACACAGAGUUCCGACUUCUGGCUGCCUUUGGGCAAUUAGGAAGGAGCUUUCUCUUCCCAGCCUCACAAAAUUCCUCUGGCUCCUCUACUUGGGGAAAGCAGCAUCCCGUUAUCAUCCCUCUAUAACUGAACUCAGAUUUUUUUCUUAAGAAAGUGGACACUCUGAGACUUCCUUUCAAUGCCCUGAACUCUUUCAACUGAACAUUUGCAUGAAGGAUAAAAAUAAGUUAAAAAAUAAAAAAUAGAAUGCACAACAAUUGAGGCAACAAUGAUACCAACUUUGCCAAGUUUCAACUGCUUUUACCAGUGAACUGGGGAGAAUGUGGACGAUAAAAAUGUACUGAUGUUCCUGUGUCUCACUGGGAAUUGGGGAACACUGAGAGACAAUUGGUCUGUGUCCUUACCAGGCUAGUGGCCCUGUUCACUGCUGGGCAGUCUGACUGCUUUCCCAGGAUUACUUCUUCUUUGAUCCCAGGCUGUUUUUCAUGUUCAUCCCACGCCCAUCUCAGCUUCUGAGUUUCUGCACCCUAAUGGGGCCUCAGCAGGGGACAGAACUCCCCGUCCUCAUUCAUCCUGUGGAGGAUUGGAAUACUAGAGACACACGCUGUCUUCCCCCAGCCCUUAAUCAGACAUUAACAAUUCAUGUUGUUUUCUGCUUAAUCUUGAGCUUGCAGCAAAAGGUCUGAGAUUUCUAUGGCUUACCCAAAGAGCACAUAGAUUUAAUAAGUAAUUCAUUUCCUGGUAUGCUUAUGGAUGAACAAGAAAUGGUCAUUUCUAGAAUUCUAUGUAACACCACUUUCCAAUGAGCAUGCAAGAAUACAGUGUUAUCCCAGUAAGAAUACUGUUUAUAUUAGUAAAAAAACCUAUACUGAUUUUGAGGUGACAAAUUGCUUACCAAUGAAUCCUAUACCUAGCUGACAUCAGAAUCCCUUUAGGAAAGUUUUACAGAUAGGAUUCUUGGGUGGCAUGUGGAAAAAACUGGUUUGUAUAUUUUUUAACUUCAUGAAAAUUUUCACGAAUGAUGAAUGUUGCAGUUUGAUUGUGAACUCUGCUUUCAUUAAUAGAUUACUGUAAGAGUGGGUUCCUCGGGGCUGGGGAUUUAGCUCAGCGGCAUAAGCACCUGCCUUGCAAGCAUGCAGUUGUGAGUUCAAUCCCUGGUACCAAUAAAGAAAAAAGAGUGGGUUCCUCACCACAGAAGUGGGGUUCUGAUGAAAGGAUGAAUUUGGCUCUCUUCUCUCUGCUCUUUCACAAUCUAUUAUGCUUCUACCUUCUACCAUGGAGUCACACAACGUAAAGGCCUUGCCAGGUGUAGACUUUGGAUCAUAGACUUCCUAGAGUCCAUAACUGUGAGAAAUAAAUUUAUUUUCAUUAUAAAUUACCCAGUCUGUGGUGUUCUGUUACAACAGCACAGGGUGAACUAUGACAACGUAUUCCCUGCUUCCUACACCUUAAUAUAUGCAUAAUUUGUCUGGGGAUCUUUUCAAAAAUACAGAUUCUGAUUUGGUAGAUCUAGGGUGGUACAUAAAACUUCAUUUGGAAAAAACUGCUAGGUGAUGCUGAUGCUCUUGGUCUAGACUACACAUGGAAUUGCAAGGUCUUAGACUAGGAGUUUUUAACCCUCAGGAGAUGACAGAAGUUGAAGUACCUGGGAAAUCAGAACCCUAAGUCGACAACAUUCAACCAGAAUCUCUGGGGCUGUAUUCCCAACAUUAGUGUUUUUAACGAAGUUUCCCCAGCAGAUUCAAGUAAUGCUGAUGGAAUUGAGUAAAAGCGCUAAUCAAAAGAUGAUCACUGUGUAAUAGUCAUUGUACAAAAGAGAGGAAGAGAAAGUGCUCUAAACUAUAUAACUGCAUGUAUAUUUAAGUGUAUAAGAUAGAAAAUGAUAUCACAGAGUUUUAUUGGAUCAUUGAACAGAACUGUUUGCAGUAUCAUUGUUGGAAUGUCCACUUUACAAGCUUUAAUUUUGUGACUUGAACAAUUAUUUCUAAGAUGACAAUAUGUAAUCCAUUAACUAGUGAUUUCCUACUGUUCAUUUUUUUUCUGUAAAUCUGUAUAACUUGUACCCUUUCUCUGCUUUUUUUUUUCUUUUCUCCUUAAAUAAAAUUUAAAAAAAAAAAAAAAGAAAAAAAGAUGAUCAGGGCCGGGAUUUAGCUUGGUGGCUCGAGCACUUGUCUGGCAUGCUCUUAUGCAAUUCCUUCUUUUCAGUGUGGGUUGCAUUUACUUCUAACAAACAGAAUAUGAUGGAAUAAUGGUACACCUCUUCCAAGAUUGGGCACAUUCUCUUCCUCGGGAGGCCUUGCCUUAGGGAAGCAAGUUACUCUGUUCAGAGGAGCCCCAUGGUGAUGUCCAAGUGAGGACUCCAGGCUGUGAAAAUCCUCACAAGAGAGCUUGAAGUAGAUCUUCUUGCAGCCAAGUCCUGAGAUGACUACAACCCUGCCUGAUGCACUAACUGGAGCCUGAUGUGGGAGCCCAGGCCAGAGGAGUCAGCCAAGCCACACUUUGGGCUCUUGACCCACAGAAACUGUGAGAUAAGGAAUGAUUUUAGUCUCUCAAGUUUUUGAGAGGUUUGUAACAACAGAUAACUGAUACAAAGUUCCUGAAAUAUCCUCCCUCUUCCUUUCUACUUAUCUAACUUUCAAAUGUUGGCUGUUGUAAGAAACUUUUUCCUCCAAGUGAUUGGUCCUUCAUGAAUUCUUAGAGUACCACAUAUAAAGUCAUAACACUCAUUAUUA